rnacentral:lncRNA from 1 species
UGGAACUGCAUUAGCAUUCAAAGUAGAAAGACUUCUUCCGCCAGCAUCUCCACCUGCACAGGCUUCAGCCUCCAUCUCCCAAAUGCUUCUUCAGUUUUAUAGUGGAAGUCCCUCUCCCUCACUGGGUGGGAACAGCCUUGCUCAUUCCUGCCAGUGCCCGCCACUGAGCAUGCUCCCUGACUGUUGAGUGUGGAGCGCUGCUGGGCAGGCGCACAAAGACACUGUCCUCGGCCCAGGCAGAGAUGCUUCUCCUCCACCAGCUGCUCUUAAUCACUGUUUUACUCGCAAGCUUCUUGAAAUUGCCUUAAGCCCCCCUCCCCUCUUAGAAAGGCUUUCUUUCUGCCUUCCUGCCUGGCAUGCAUCUCCCCGCUGGCUAGGCACCCCUUCUCCUCUGCAGUGUUGGGGGAGCCCCCAUCAAGGCUUGCACCCUCUCUACAAGCAGGGGGAACCAAUUGCACUCAAAGCACCCAGUGUUCGCUUAGGCAAGAAGCUGAACAUGGUGCAGUUUGCAACAAUUCUCUAGGCAUUUGGUUCUCCUGGCCCUAGAGUCCUUUGUGGCUCUCCCUGCAAAGAAGCACUUGUUCACCAGUUGGUUCUCUAGAAAGCCUGUUCACAGUUCUUCUAAGAGUAUAGCUCUUAAAUCAGCUGAAUCAGCAUAAAUCAGCAACCUCUUACUGUUAAUAAUAAUUCAUAAACUCUACUGAGCUCUCAGCUUUAACUGUUUAAGAAGCAACAAACAUAAAACACACAGGAACACCUUACACUUACAAUGGUCAUGAUUUUCCCCUCACCACUUCCCACCCAUGCCCCUUUGCUGGGUCUUUAGAACAGAGACUCAGUUGGGCUUUUUCAAGUGCUUCCACCCUCACCUAACCCAUGCCUUACUUUUCCUUCCAAGGCCUCAAGUCUGACCUCUAUAGCCAUGGAAUUGUAGAUACAAAAUGAACCUUGGAGACAAUCUCAUCACUCCCAUUUUUUAUCUAUAGCAGGUACAAAUUUUCACAGGCUCAGAGGUGAAAAAUGUAACUUUAUUAUAAUUGAACUUAGUUUUGUUUUUUGAGAUGGAGUCUCGCUCUGUCGCCCAGGUUGGAGUGCAGUGGCGUGAUGUUGGCUCACUGCAACUUCCACCUCUCCG